ensembl:lncRNA
ACGGUAAUUUUACGUUAGCUCCUUAGCCCACCGCGAAUGCUGCUAAGUAGGUUAUCAAAAGCAGGAGCAAAGCUUUAACUGCUGCUGAUUUAACUGCACUUUAGGACGAGAAAGUUUUCACAGAUGCAGCAAUUUUAGCUGGAAAUAAUAUCUCGUCGAUGAUACAGUUGUCUGAGGAUGUACUCAAACAGAUCUGAACACGGUUACAGGCGGCAGUACAGCGAGAGGAGUUCACGGCAACGGGAUGAAUAUGACGACAGAUGGGAGAAAAGGCGCGAACCUCCCAGAGACAUGCCACGGGAGUCGUAUCAUAAAUAUGGUGGGGAUGGACGCAGCAGUACAGAGAGAACAAGAAGUAGGGAGUACAGUGAGUCUCCGAAGAGGCUUUACAGCAAAGAUACACUGAACAGAGACUGGAGCAGGAAGAGCCCGGCGAGGAGACGCGCGUCUUCACCGGUGCGGGACCUCUCUGACAACAAAAAGCAGAGGUUUGCAGAUGACGACGAGCGGGAAUACAGGUACAGGCGUGAGGCUCAGGAGAAAACAUACAGGCCUUCACCGGACAGUUUUUCACGAUCGCAUCUAACCAGGAAUAUUGAAGAUGCGUCACCACAAAAUGAGGAUUUCAAGUACAGGAAAACACCUCAGGGCUCCAGGCACAGGCCUCGGCAUGAGGAGUUCCCAUACAGGCAGCUAAAUGAUGAGUUACCUUACAGACGACUGUCGGGGUCUUACAAAGAUGGAGAUGAAUAUGAGAGGGGCCGGGAUCCAUCACAAGAGAGGGCACGAUCACAGGAGAGGAGUUAUGUCAAUCCCAGAGAGAGGAUGGACAGUCCUCUCACUUCUGUAUAUGAUGAGGAUUAUCGCCAAGCUGGAGCAAGAUAUCCAUUGAAUGGCUCGAGCCGACAGUCUUUUGAGAGUGAUGCACCCAGUCGAAGUGCAGCUGUUUCUGAGCAGAAGUCAACCAAAGGCUUCCAGCGUUUCCUCGACGUGCUAAACAAGGGCGUGAAUGUCGACGUUCUCACUAAGAUUGUGACUCAGACCUCAGAUGACGACGAUCAACCCGUUUCUCAAACCUUAUUACCGAGCCCUGCUGAUCAUCUGUGGUCUCCCACUCACAAUGCUGGGAGGAAUCAAGGAAGCCACCAGGAUAACAGCUACUGGAGUGAGAGCGAAAGGUCCCGCAGACCAGUUUCCCCACAGACUCAUCGACGGUCCCUCAGCCCAAAACAGUGCCCACUCUCAGAUGAAAAGCCCCUUCAGGGGAAUGAUGGCAGGGAAGCCUACUUCCGCAGCAGAUCCAGGUCCCCCUUGGUGGUGGAAAGGGUGCCUCUGCCACCUGAGGAUGAACACAAGCAUAGGCAAAUGCAGGAUGUGCUGCAGGCCAUUGGCAUGGAUUUGGGAUUUGAAGAGCUUGGCCAAAUGUCUCAUAGAAUCCAGGAGCGGCUGUAUGGGAAGAAGGAUGGUGAUUUGGCUCGUAAAGUUGGGAGGGAGAAGGGUACGAGGCGACCGUAUUCCCCAAGACGUCAAAGUAGAGCAUCAUCAUCAUCAAGCAGAUCUAGUUUUAGCCCCUUAAAUCAGAAUUAUUACAGUAAAAAAGACUCGUACAGUGCAGAGAGGGAUGUAACGGAUGUGCAUCAAGUAUACAAAUCUGCUGAGUAUGACCAAAAGACGAGCAGCAGCUCAGUACAGGACAGUAAGAACUGCGAAAGGAAAUCUCAGGAGAGUGCUGCUGCAUUACAACCAUUUUCUCCUAAUUCCUCGUACCCUGCGUCCAAACCUCCAUCUGCUCCGGUGGUGCCGACAUACCCUCCGGUCAACUGCUCACCAAUGCCAUACCCACCUGUCUCGCCAGCUGUGCCUCCACCAAUGCCCCAUGUUGGGCCGGGGGUUAAUAUGCCACCCUUCGUCCCGUACCCCGGCAUCCCGCCUAUGAACAUGUAUCCAACCAUGCUCCCGCAAGCGAGCCACAUGUUCCUGCAUCACGUUAAUCAUCCACAGCCGCCGUAUUUCAGCCAAUCAAAUGUUAUUCAAACCAAAAAAAAGCCUGGAUGAACGAGGCUGCGCAGGGUGGAAGUGAGACUUUGAAACUGACUGAUGGAAACAGCUGGGCCUUCAGGGAGUCUCUUUUUAACCACAAAACACGCGUUUGAAGCAUCAGAGAACAUCACAGUGAACAUUUGCAGGCAACCAGACCAGCAGCAACUAAGAGAACAACACAAUGACAUUAUCAGCUACUGUAUCGUGAGUUUGAUGACAAACUGUAAGUGGUGCUGCAGCUCUUCUUGAUUCUUGGUCUGCUCCCAUACCCAUCACACAUUCACUAGUCUGCCACAACAUUAAAAUCACCGACAGUGGAAGUGGAAACAGCUCGGGUCCUUGAAUUCAUGCGGAUGGUAUUUUGACACCGUUACAGCUUUGAUGCAGACCAGGCAUUGGGCUGAUGGGCAGCAGCCUCCUCUUGUGUGGCAGUGCAACCCAUUAUACUACAACAAGUAUUAAGCCAGCCUACGAAGCUGGACCACCGUAAUUCUCAGAGGUUCACAGGACACAAAGGAUCCACUGCAGCGUCCGCUCGGAGGUCCUGCAUGCAUGCCUGGACUCCUCAGGCAGUAUGAAGCAGGUUGUUUUAAUGUUGUGGUUGGUUGGUGUAGCUUAUAAUAGUCAGGUCAUUCUAGGAAAAAAAUAAAACAAAUACUGAAACUACAAAAAUUUGUUAUUUUGUUAAAGUUUUACUAAAAUUUGAUGCAUUUUAUUUUUGUGGACAUCAUAUUUGUCUUCAUAUAGGAGCCUUUAUGUUCAUUAAUUAGCUCAAAGGCCAACCUACAACUAUAAGACAUGCUCUACACUUCUGUCUCUUUACAUAUUUUUCUUAUUCUGUAAACAUGCAGAAAUUUGCUGUAUAAAUAUUGAACUGGAUAAUAUUAAACACAAAGCAAAUACUCG